rnacentral:rRNA from 1 species
GUCUUUUUGAGUAUAAUUUAAAGUCUGACCUGCCCAAUGAGUAGUUUAAUGGCCGCGGUAAUUUGACCGUGCAAAGGUAGCAUAAUCAUUAGUUUUUUAAUUGAAAGCUGGUAUGAACGGUUGGACGAGAAAGUGACUGUCUCAAUUUAAUUGAUAGUUGAAUUUUAUUUAUAAGUAAGAAAGCUUAUAUAAUUUUAAAAGACGAGAAGACCCUAUAGAAUUUUAUAGCUUUGUGUAUUUGUUGAUAUUGGUAUUUUAUUCUUCGGGUACAUCAAGUUAUUUUGUUGGGGCGAUAGAAAAAUUUGAUUAACUUUUUUUAUAUUUUUGUCAUUGAUGUAUGUGUGAUUGAUCCGUUUUUUACGAUUAAAAGACUAAAUUACCUUAGGGAUAACAGCGUAAUUUUUUUUUAGAGUUCUUAUCGAAAAAAGAGUUUGCGACCUCGAUGUUGGAUUAAAAUUAACUUUUGGUGCAGGGGCUAGAAGGUUGGGUCUGUUCGACCUUUAAAAUUUUACAUGAUCUGAGU